rnacentral:rRNA from 1 species
UACGUAGGGUGCGAGCGUUGUCCGGAAUUAUUGGGCGUAAAGAGCGUGUAGGCGGCUUGGUAGGUCCGCUGUGAAAACUCGAGGCUCAACCUCGAGAUGUCGGCGGAAACCACUUGGCUAGAGUCCGGAAGAGGAGAGUGGAAUUCCCGGUGUAGCGGUGAAAUGCGCAGAUAUCGGGAAGAACACCUAUGGCGAAGGCAGCUCUCUGGGACGGUACUGACGCUGAGACGCGAAAGCGUGGGGAGCGAACAGG